rnacentral:rRNA from 1 species
CCCUUAGAUGUUCUGGGCCGCACGCGCGCUACACUGACUACUUCAACGAGUUGUUUCCUUGAUCGAAAGGUCUGGGUAAUCUUUGAAAGGUAGUCGUGAUGGGGAUAGAUCCUUGCAAUUUUUGAUCUUCAACGAGGAAUUCCUAGUAAACGCAAGUCAUCAGCUUGCAUUGAUUACGUCCCUGCCCUUUGUACACACCGCCCGUCGCACCUACCGAUUGAAUGGUCCGGUGAAAUCUCGGGACGGCGGCUUGGUCGCUUGCGUCCGACUGCUGAAACUUGAUUAAACCAUAUCAUUUAGAGGAAGGUGAAGUCGUANCA